GACGAACGCUGGCGGCGUGCUUAACACAUGCAAGUCGAACGGAAAGGCCUAGCUUGCUGGGUACUCGAGUGGCGAACGGGUGAGUAACACGUGGGUGAUCUGCCCCUGACUUUGGGAUAAGCCUGGGAAACUGGGUCUAAUACCGGAUAUUCAUUUUUCCUCGCAUGGGGAUUUGUGGAAAGCUUUUGCGGUUGGGGAUGGGCCCGCGGCCUAUCAGCUUGUUGGUGGGGUAAUGGCCUACCAAGGCGACGACGGGUAGCCGACCUGAGAGGGUGAUCGGCCACACUGGGACUGAGACACGGCCCAGACUCCUACGGGAGGCAGCAGUGGGGAAUAUUGCACAAUGGGCGCAAGCCUGAUGCAGCGACGCCGCGUGAGGGAUGACGGCCUUCGGGUUGUAAACCUCUUUCAGCUCCGACGAAGCGCAAGUGACGGUAGGAGCAGAAGAAGCACCGGCCAACUAAGUG
rnacentral:rRNA from 1 species